rnacentral:rRNA from 1 species
UAUCACUUAGCGGCGGACGGGUGAGUAAUGCUUAGGAAUCUGCCUAUUAGUGGGGGACAACAUUUCGAAAGGAAUGCUAAUACCGCAUACGUCCUACGGGAGAAAGCAGGGGAUCUUCGGACCUUGCGCUAAUAGAUGAGCCUAAGUCGGAUUAGCUAGUUGGUGGGGUAAAGGCCUACCAAGGCGACGAUCUGUAGCGGGUCUGAGAGGAUGAUCCGCCACACUGGGACUGAGACACGGCCCAGACUCCUACGGGAGGCAGCAGUGGGGAAUAUUGGACAAUGGGCGCAAGCCUGAUCCAGCCAUGCCGCGUGUGUGAAGAAGGCCUUAUGGUUGUAAAGCACUUUAAGCGAGGAGGAGGCUACUUUAGAUAAUACCUAGAGAUAGUGGACGUUACUCGCAGAAUAAGCACCGGCUAACUCUGUGCCAGCAGCCGCGGUAAUACAGAGGGUGCAAGCGUUAAUCGGAUUUACUGGGCGUAAAGCGCGCGUAGGCGGCUAAUUAAGUCAAAUGUGAAAUCCCCGAGCUUAACUUGGGAAUUGCAUUCGAUACUGGUUAGCUAGAGUGUGGGAGAGGAUGGUAGAAUUCCAGGUGUAGCGGUGAAAUGCGUAGAGAUCUGGAGGAAUACCGAUGGCGAAGGCAGCCAUCUGGCCUAACACUGACGCUGAGGUGCGAAAGCAUGGGGAGCAAACAGGAUUAGAUACCCUGGUAGUCCAUGCCGUAAACGAUGUCUACUAGCCGUUGGGGCCUUUGAGGCUUUAGUGGCGCAGCUAACGCGAUAAGUAGACCGCCCGGGGGAGUACGGUCGCAAGACUAAAACU